UUUCUUUUCUCUCUCUUCCUAUUUAUAAAGGAUAUUACUAACAAACCCUAAAAAGUACACUGUGGGGGAAUAUUCAACAGAAUAUUCCUAUUCACUAUUACAGGAACAUUCUAACAAUUGCAUUCAUUGCUUUCUACUCGACCUCGGCAAUGCUAUUCCCCUUUGAGCUACUCUCUCGCCACUAGAUCGUACUUGGUUCGGCUCAACCUCAGCUCGUCCAUCUGCAUUCGCUAAGCUAUACCUAAUUUUGGCCCAUACAAAUGUGAUGAUGGUGAAGUAACGACUGUGAACGAAAAUGUAGAUUUAAAAAGAGUAAGUGGAUGCGGAUUCAAGGAUAACUAAUGAAGAAUUGUUGUCGGUGGGGGAAUUUUGUGCUUAUAAGUAUAGUUGACGGCCAAUUUUGAAAAAUGAACGCCAAUUUGGGAAUAUUCUUCAAAGGAGUGUGGUAGUGUCGAGUGACGACUAUGGAGGAUAGGUGGCAGAGCAUUGUCUGAGUAUGGAAUUCAUGGUGGUAGAGAGUUAUUUGGGUGGUGAAAGAUGAAUUUUCUUCCUAUUUUGAUGCACAUGAAAAAUGAAGGAUGUAAUACAUAUCUGGGCCAAAUUGUGAGAGGCCGGCCGAAGAUGGAGUCUAUACUUGGAAAGAAG
rnacentral:lncRNA from 1 species